rnacentral:rRNA from 1 species
UACAGAGGUCUCAAGCGUUGUUCGGAUUCAUUGGGCGUAAAGGGUGUGUAGGUGGCGCGGUAAGUCGGGUGUGAAAUCUCGGAGCUUAACUCCGAAACUGCAUUCGAUACUGCCGUGCUUGAGGACUGGAGAGGAGACUGGAAUUUACGGUGUAGCGGUGAAAUGCGUAGAUAUCGUAAGGAAGACCAGUGGCGAAGGCGGGUCUCUGGACAGUUCCUGACGCUGAGGCACGAAGGUCAGGGGAGCAAACGGG